AUUGAACGCUGGCGGCGUGCUUAACACAUGCAAGUCGAACGGUAAGGCCCUUCGGGGUACACGAGUGGCGAACGGGUGAGUAACACGUGGGUGAUCUGCCCUGCACUUCGGGAUAAGCCUGGGAAACUGGGUCUAAUACCGGAUAGGACCACUGCCUGCAUGGGUGGUGGUGGAAAGCUUUUGCGGUGUGGGAUGGGCCCGCGGCCUAUCAGCUUGUUGGUGGGGUGAUGGCCUACCAAGGCGACGACGGGUAGCCGGCCUGAGAGGGUGACCGGCCACACUGGGACUGAGAUACGGCCCAGACUCCUACGGGAGGCAGCAGUGGGGAAUAAUGCACAAUGGGCGCAAGCCUGAUGCAGCGACGCCGCGUGAGGGAUGACGGCCUUCGGGUUGUAAACCUCUUUCAGCACCGACGAAGCGGAAGUGACGGUAGGUGCAGAAGAAGGACCGGCCAACUACGUGCCAGCAGCCGCAGUAAAAC
rnacentral:rRNA from 1 species